rnacentral:rRNA from 1 species
UACAGAGGUCUCAAGCGUUGUUCGGAUUCAUUGGGCGUAAAGGGUGCGUGGGCGGCGCGGUAAGUCGGGUGUGAAAUUUCGAGGCUUAACUUCGAAACUGCAUUCGAUACUGCCGUGCUAGAGGACUGGAGAGGAGACUGGAAUUUACGGUGUAGCGGUGAAAUGCGUAGAUAUCGUAAGGAAGACCAGUGGCGAAGGCGGGUCUCUGGACAGUUCCUGACGCUGAGGCACGAAGGCCAGGGGAGCGAACGGG